UACAUCGUGAAACGAGGAGAAAAAGACGAAACAAAUUAUAGCUAAUUAAUACUUAUAUUCCUGUGAUAUCAAAUACCAAAUUGAACUUCGUAUCUUAUAUGCAUACUGUCAGUCAUUCCAACAAGUUGACUUAGCGCUGAGUCAAUUUCCAUCAGAUUAGACCCUCAUGUUGUCAAAAGCCAAAUUCUCAUGUUUGAAGCCCACAUGUAGUGGAAGACAAAUGUGCAGAGAUAAGGAUCUUUUCUGAAUCUCACAAUUUUGGUGGUGUACCCUGCAACAGCAUGUUUGUUGUUGUUGAUGUUUUUACUUCUGUUUAGGAGGCAAUAUAGCUAAGAGAAAGAGUUUCAGUGACAUGAAGAGUGUGGAGUGAAUAACCUGCCAUGUGUAUUGCACAUGUACGGGAUCUGCUUGAAGAAAGUCAAAAGCCUUACUAAAUUCAUCACCCAUAUGAUAAAGCAUCAGGAAAUUUAUCUCAACAUGAGGAGUAAGGCUGUUGGUUGUUGUGAUUUCCUUUUUUAUGGUUUAUUCAUCAUGAAAAUUGCAGUGUGCUUCUUAGCAAAGGGCAUGUAAGAGAUCCUUAAGCCAAUGCUGUUCAUUGUCCAUGACGGAAGAGGGACUUCAACCUACGUUCUGCUACAUCCUUAUCUUCCUGACGUACGCUCAUCCAGCUUCACUGCUUCAGUGCUUCUUAUGCUGCAAAACAAAUUUUCUUGCUUCAAUGGCGAGUUGGAUCACUUCAGUUGCUGUGAGCCUGCGACACACCUGCAAUCACUCACCACGGGAUUAUGGCCAGGUAAUGCAGAGGAAACAUCGAGAAGAUGGACACCAAAACGUCACCGGUAUCACCAAAAUGUCGGCGUGGAUCAUCAUUUGUUGUUGGUAAUAUGUUUGUGUCAGUGUUAGUUAACCCGUUGGCUGCCACGCCUUUGUUCUCCUCUAGUUCCUUAGCACGGGUCGCGCUGUUCGGUCUCGUGGUUUACAAGCCGCGGGUUCGGAGAGUCGCCAAGCCCAAAACUUGCCGCAAGGCGCCUGUUUCAGGCAAUGCACCCCCUCUCCCCCCUUGUCGAUACGGUGAUGGGCCUUCUCCUGUCACCGUGUCAGCCCGGACUUGUCAGCAAUGGCAAGUCCCACUUGGUCAUGGGUCCUUCAGAC
rnacentral:lncRNA from 1 species